AGAAGUUUGAUUUUUUGCUUUUGUCUCCAGCAUGGCAGGAUGUGGUUUGUUCUUGAUGCUAGCCUCAUCUCCAUCCUCUGAAUGGGUCCGUGCUGGUUUUUCUCUGCAUCUGUCCGUGUUGCAUUGGUGGGGUCAGUAAGCACAAGCUGGAAAUGGCAUACAGAUUGUUUUAAUUUGCACCAAGGGCAUCUUUGCCUCUAUGAAUAAGAAAUUUUUGAAAACAUCCUUCAUCUACAAAAUUGAGUGCUCCUAGUUUCCAGUUCUACAGUACGUUGUCAGCAGGAUCAGAGCUGGGCCUACAAGGCACACAGAAUGUUCUGGGGAGAUUGGUGC